ACAUAUUCUGGUCGUUUUCCCGCCAACUCACCGGAUGCGCUUUGAUUUAUAGACAAUUAUCGACGUGGUAGUUAAUUGAUGCACGAUGUAGUUUCAAUUGAAGUACAUCAUGGGGAUGUACAUCUAUCAGUACGUCAUGCAUUCAUUACGGACAGUCAUCGAUGUGGUAGUUCAUUGAGUUUCAAUUG